rnacentral:rRNA from 1 species
UACAGAGGUCUCAAGCGUUGUUCGGAUUCAUUGGGCGUAAAGGGCGCGUAGGCGGCGGGGUAAGUCUGGUGUGAAAUCUCGGAGCUCAACUCCGAAAUUGCACUGGAUACUGCUCUGCUUGAGGGUUGGAGAGGAGAUCGGAAUUCACGGUGUAGCAGUGAAAUGCGUAGAUAUCGUGAGGAAGACCAGUGGCGAAGGCGGAAUCUCUGGACAAAUCCUGACGCUGAGGCGCGAAGGCUAGGGGAGCAAACGGG